GACGUAGGGGGCCAGCGUUGUUCGGAAUUACUGGGUGUAAAGGGUUCGUAGGCGGUGUGGCAAGUCGGGAGUGAAAUCUCUGGGCUCAACCCAGAGUCUGCUUCCGAAACUGCUGUGCUUGAGUGUGGGAGAGGCGCGUGGAAUUGCAGGUGUAGCGGUGAAAUGCGUAGAUAUUCGCAAGAACACCAGUGGCGAAGGCGGCUCACUGGCCCGAUACUGACGCUGAGGCACGAAAGCGUGGGGAGCAAACAGG
rnacentral:rRNA from 1 species